rnacentral:rRNA from 1 species
GGCAGNCACCAUUANUGGGCUUAAAGNGUCCGUAGCUUGUUUGGNAAGUCUCUGGUGAAAUCCUGCAGCUUAACCGUAGGGCUUGCCGGAGAAACUCUCGGACUAGAGGAUNGGAGAGGUCGGAGGUACUUCUGGGGUAGGGGUGAAAUCCUAUAAUCCUAGAAGGACCAACAGUGGCNAAGGCGUCCNACAUGAACAUGCCUGACAGUGAGGGACNAGAGCCAGGGUCGCGAAACGGAUUAGAUACCCGUGUAGUCCUGGCCGUAAACGAUGUUGACUAGGUGGGGCG